rnacentral:rRNA from 1 species
AUUGAACGCUGGCGGCAUGCUUUACACAUGCAAGUCGAACGGCAGCGGGGGCUUCGGCCUACCGGCGAGUGGCGAACGGGUGAGUAAUGCAUCGGAACGUGCCCAUGUCGUGGGGGAUAACUACGCGAAAGCGUGGCUAAUACCGCAUACGCCCUGAGGGGGAAAGCGGGGGAUCUUUCGGGACCUCGCGCGAUUGGAGCGGCCGAUGUCGGAUUAGUUAGUUGGUGGGGUAAAGGCUCACCAAGGCGACGAUCCGUAGCUGGUCUGAGAGGAUGAUCAGCCACACUGGGACUGAGACACGGCCCAGACUCCUACGGGAGGCAGCAGUGGGUAAUUUUGGACAAUGGGCGCAAGCCUGAUCCAGCCAUGCCGCGUGAGUGAAGAAGGCCUUCGGGUUGUAAAGCUCCUUCGGCCGGGAAGAAAUCGCAUUCUCUAAUAUAGGAUGUGGAUGACGGUACCGGACUAAGAAGCACCGGCUAACUACGUGCCAGCCGCCGCCGUAACAC